rnacentral:tRNA from 1 species
GGCGCGGUGGCAGAGUGGUCUAAUGCGAUAGACUAGAAAUCUAUUCUCUUCGGAGGCGGUCUGUUCGAAUCAGGCCCCGCGUCG